rnacentral:rRNA from 1 species
GCCUUGGCUGGGCGGUCCAGCCUUUCUAGGUUGGUACUGCUUUGGCUGGGGUUCACCUUCUGGUAAGCCGGUAUGCUCUUUACUGGGUGUAUCGGGGAACCAGGACUUUUACUUUGAAAAAAUUAGAGUGUUUAAAGCAGGCCUACGCUUGAAUACAUUAGCAUGGAAUAAUAGAAUAGGACUUUGGUUCUAUUUUGUUGGUUUCUAGGACCGAAGUA